rnacentral:rRNA from 1 species
GUCCACGCCCUAAACGAUGUCGACUAGUUGUUCGGGAAGGUGACUUCUUGAGUAACGAAGCUAACGCGUGAAGUCGACCGCCUGGGGAGUACGGUCGCAAGAUUAAAACUCAAAGGAAUUGACGGGGACCCGCACAAGCGGUGGAUGAUGUGGAUUAAUUCGAUGCAACGCGAAAAACCUUACCUACCCUUGACAUGUCUGGAAGUCUGCAGAGAUGCGGAUGUGCCUUCGGGAACCAGAACACAGGUGCUGCAUGGCUGUCGU